rnacentral:rRNA from 1 species
UAAGGAAUAUUGGUCAAUGGGCGAAAGCCUGAACCAGCCAUGCCGCGUGCAGGAAGACGGCCCUACGGGUUGUAAACUGCUUUUAUACCGGAAUAAACCCCCUUACGUGUAGAGGGCUGAAUGUACGGUAAGAAUAAGGAUCGGCUAACUCCGUGCCAGCAGCCGCGGUAAUACGGAGGAUCCGAGCGUUAUCCGGAUUUAUUGGGUUUAAAGGGUGCGUAGGCGGCCUUGUAAGUCAGGGGUGAAAGACGGUAGCUUAACUAUCGCAGUGCCUUUGAUACUGCAGGGCUUGAAUGUACUUGAGGUAGGCGGAAUGUGACAAGUAGCGGUGAAAUGCAUAGAUAUGUCACAGAACACCAAUUGCGAAGGCAGCUUACUAAGGUAUGAUUGACGCUGAGGCACGAAAGCGUGGGGAUCAAACAGGAUUAGAUACCCGUGUAGUCC